CCAAAUACUGGUAUUCAUGGUCAGGCAAAUGCCUGGGUAAACACCCAAGCAUUUGCCUGACCAUGAAUACCAGUAUUUGG